GGCGGUUCUCAAGUGACACACCCCACUAUCGGGCUCCUUCCUCUCUGGUUCCGGGUGCAUCACCCAAGAACUGCA
rfam:Myotis brandtii contig186929, whole genome shotgun sequence.